CAAGUCGGACGGGAUACGAGAGCUUGCUUUCCUUGAGAGUGGCGCACGGGUGCGUAACACGUAUGUAACCUACCUUAUCCAGGGGGAUAGCCUCUCGAAAGAGAGAUUAACACCGCAUAACAUCACGGGAUAGCAUUAUGCUGUGAUCAAAUAUUUAUAGGGAUAAGAUGGGCAUGCGGGACAUUAGCUACUUGGCGGGGUAACGGCCCACCAAGGCGACGAUGUCUAGGGGAUCUGAGAGGAUGGCCCCCCACACUGGUACUGAGACA
rnacentral:rRNA from 1 species